rnacentral:rRNA from 1 species
UACGGGGGGGGCAAGCGUUGUUCGGAAUUACUGGGCGUAAAGGGCUCGUAGGCGGCCAACUAAGUCAGACGUGAAAUCCCUCGGCUUAACCGGGGAACUGCAUCUGAUACUGGAUGGCUUGAAUCCGGGAGAGGGAUGCAGAAUUCCAGGUGUAGCGGUGAAAUGCGUAGAUAUCUGGAGGAAUACCGGUGGCGAAGGCGGCAUCCUGGACCGGCAUUGACGCUGAGUGAGCGAAAGCCAGGGGAGCAAACGGG